UAAAAAGAUUUAUAUUGUUUGUAAGAACGCAUUUGAAAUAGAAGUGUCGCUAACUUUGACUCUUCUGUAUUGGGAGGAGCACAAGUUUAGAUCCGCUGUCUCGAGAUUCCAGUCUAUUGAAUCCAAGGAUUAAGAAAAAAAGGUGCUCCCAAGUCGCCUCGACAAACAACCCAGCUGUUAGCAUUAAUGGUCUCGGCGUCCACACAAUUGUGAGAUCUCAGUGCCCUAUCUCCGCUAGUGUUGUCAAUCAGCAGGGAAAGACAUUUUACUUGACUGAGGUGGAAGUGUAAGCUGAAUUAGUCCCCUUUAUACUCUUUAAGGAAUCACAACUGAUUUGCUUUAAGCAGUCAAUGAAAGAAGUUUGAUCUAUAAAGUCUAUGUCUACAGAUGAUUUUGGGUAAGGCAAUACAUGUUCUAAGGAUUCAUAGCAGAGAACAGGAGAACACUGAGAACAAGAUUCUGAGGUACAAUGCUGGAGAACGAAGUAAAGCUGCAAAUAAGACAAAGUACAGCUCCAACUUAACAGACGUCUUGCAGCUAUAUUGCUAAUGUACGGAAACAAGCCAGUGAUGGAAUUUCUACGUUACUUUUCCUACAAUUUAACUUUGUGAAAGUUUGAGUGUGUGUGUGUG